AACGAACGCUGGCGGCAGGCCUAACACAUGCAAGUCGAGCGCCCCGCAAGGGGAGCGGCGGACGGGUGAGUAACGCGUGGGAACGUGCCCUUUGCUACGGAAUAGCCCCGGGAAACUGGGAGUAAUACCGUAUAAGCCCUACGGGGGAAAGAUUUAUCGGCAAAGGAUCGGCCCGCGUUGGAUUAGGUAGUUGGUGGGGUAAUGGCCUACCAAGCCGACGAUCCAUAGCUGGUUUGAGAGGAUGAUCAGCCACACUGGGACUGAGACACGGCCCAGACUCCUACGGGAGGCAGCAGGGGGGAAUCUUAGACAAUGGGCGCAAGCCUGAUCUAGCCAUGCCGCGUGAGCGAUGAAGGCCUUAGGGUUGUAAAGCUCUUUCGUGGGGGAAGACAAUGACUGUACCCCACAAGAAAGCACCGGCUAACUCCGUGCCAGCCGCCGCGGUAAGAC
rnacentral:rRNA from 1 species